rnacentral:rRNA from 1 species
UUNGAUCCUGGCUCAGGAUGAACGCUGGCGGCGUGCCUAAUACAUGCAAGUCGAGCGAAUGGAUUAAGAGCUUGCUCUUAUGAAGUUAGCGGCGGACGGGUGAGUAACACGUGGGUAACCUGCCCAUAAGACUGGGAUAACUCCGGGAAACCGGGGCUAAUACCGGAUAACAUUUUGAACUGCAUGGUUCGAAAUUGAAAGGCGGCUUCGGCUGUCACUUAUGGAUGGACCCGCGUCGCAUUAGCUAGUUGGUGAGGUAACGGCUCACCAAGGCAACGAUGCGUAGCCGACCUGAGAGGGUGAUCGGCCACACUGGGACUGAGACACGGCCCAGACUCCUACGGGAGGCAGCAGUAGGGAAUCUUCCGCAAUGGACGAAAGUCUGACGGAGCAACGCCGCGUGAGUGAUGAAGGCUUUCGGGUCGUAAAACUCUGUUGUUAGGGAAGAACAAGUGCUAGUUGAAUAAGCUGGCACCUUGACGGUACCUAACCAGAAAGCCACGGCUAACUACGUGCCAGCAGCCGCGGUAAUACGUAGGUGGCAAGCGUUAUCCGGAAUUAUUGGGCGUAAAGCGCGCGCAGGUGGUUUCUUAAGUCUGAUGUGAAAGCCCACGGCUCAACCGUGGAGGGUCAUUGGAUACUGGGAGNCUUGAGUGCAGNAGAGGANAGUGGNAUUCCAUGUGUAGCGGUNANAUGCGUAGAGAUAUGGAGGAACACCAGUGGCGA